CAAAAAAGGGAUCCUUUCUCUCCAAAGAUUAUGAAAUCAAAGAGCAUUUUGUUGCUUCUUGGAAAUUCUUUCUAUGACUCGGAGGCCACACAAUUCAACAGACUUCCCAUUAUUACUAUUAUUAAAGUAUUUGAUCCAGUUCCGCCUCCUACUUUACCAACUUUCACACAGACCGAAAACUCAAGCGUUUACCUGGGCUCGCCCUUGGACGGGGCGAGCAGGUCACCCGCGCUUCCAGCCUCCACCUCCCCGGGUCUUGGCUCCAGGGCUCCCGCAAAAUCUUGAAAUCCCCCCAGAUCGGCGCGGUCACUGAGGGAAGCAGCCUGGCUCUGAACAAGCCCAGGCAAGCCCAGGCAGAGCCCGCUUCUAGGUCCUCCCUCCUGCGCGCAUCACCCGGCCCCGGGGCGGGAGACGCGUCUCUCCGGUUCCAGAUCCGGGGAGUCGACUCACCCUAGACGGAUCGGGCGCCGGCAUCUCCUCCAUCUGAGCAGGAAAAGGACCCAGUUCGCUGUUGGCUGCUUCACAGCUACGGAUCCUCCAGAUACAGAGGGCUGACCAGAUACUAAGACCACCAAAUUGCGUGCUUUAAAUGGUGAAAUUUAUGGAACGCCUUGGGAGAGCAGCCAUUUCUGGCCUCUGGGGACCUAGAGAAGCCAAGAAGCAAAGCAGCUGUGAAAGCCAGCGUACUUCGGGGCCAGGUGCGCACAGAAGCAGCCUGCAGGUGACGGCAGCUCAGGCCAGAUGCCUCACCCACAGCAGACAGAACAACCUCAAAGCAAGUUACCCCAAGAAAGCAAGUGACCCGCCCACCACGAUAGGAAUCAGCCCCGGAUGGGACAGAUCAACCCCUCGCCGAGCUUCUAAACUCAAGUGACCCAGCACACUGGCAAAACGUCUGAGUGUCCACUCUGGACUGGGCCUUGACUCAGCCAGGAAAAGACUGAACUGGAACCAUCAACUCUGUCACUGAGAAGUGACCCCAUCCUUUGGUGCUUUGCAACUCUAUGGUCAUACAGGGAAAAGCGACUGAUUGCUUAAAAUUGAAGUAUAGUUGAUUUACAACGUUUCAGGUACAUAGCAAAGUGACUCAGUUAUACAUACACACAUAUAUAUUUUCAGAUUCUUUCCCAUUAUAGGUUAUUAUAAGAUAUAGAAUAUAGUUCCCUGUGCUAUCCAGCAGGUCCUUGCUGUUUAUCUGUUUUAUAUAGCGACAGUAUAUCUGUUAAUCUCAAAUUUCUAAUUUACCCCUUUCUCCUAAAUGCUAUUUUUUUUUAAUGGAGGUACUGGAACUAGAACCCAGGACCUUGUGCAUGCUAAGCAUGCACUCUACCUUCUGAGCUAUUACCACCCCCCCACACCAAAUGCUAUUAAUUUUUAAAGGCAAGUAUCAUGCCAUAUAUUGUUUGUACCUAUUCAACAGCUCUGAUUUUCAUGUCAGUGGAUGCCCAGUAAAUACUUGUUGGGUUGAACCAAAUGAUCAAGAAUUUUGGGGGAGAAAUAAUAUUUUACACCAGCAAAGUAAAAAAGCUCUGUGUUGCCUAUUGGUCCCAUCUGAGAUGGCCCCAGUCAGAUUUCUUGGUUAACUUCCUCCACCUCUGUCAAGUCAACCCAUGUCUUAACAAGGGGUCUGGCAGCUCUCCUGCCCUGCAGCCAUUACAUCAACAAGAUGUGUAGUGCUUACGACACAGUCUUGCACCUGCCCCAACUGGAGAGCUAAAAAGUUUCCAGCUGGGCAGGAGAGCUUGCCAGCUAAAAAAAACAUUUUGCCAUAGAGAGGAAAGGUCAUCCCAUGACACAGGAAAAUCGGCCACUUUAUAGAUAAUCAUGGUAAUUCACCUCCACGUUGUGGAAGGUUACUAGUGAGCAGCAUUUUAGUGUUUUGGGCAUUCAGAUUGGUCCUACUCACAAACCCAAAUCAGCAUUAAACAAGUGGAACUGCUGGGGAGGAAAGAGGGAACUCACUGGGCCUGGAAGUGCGCUGAGACUCCGAAACCCCCAAACAAGGACAGAAAGACCAUCGGGGGAGCGGCUGUUGGAAAAAAAUGAGGCCAAACCCAGUGGCUGAUUCAUGUAGACUCUGCCUGGGAUGGUUACUGUCAUUCUGUAACAUUCCCCUAAAAGGGGGUGGGCACAAGGCCCCACCUGAAACCCAAGAUCCUGCAAAUGGACCGGAACGCCCAGUGUAGGGUUGCUGGUGGGCCAUUGCCUUGGUCCUUUGCCACCCUAUUCAAGGAUGGUCAGCUCUCCCUGGGCAUUUUGUUCAGCUUCCUCAGACAACAGAUGCGCACAUGGCUCGUAACGCCUACUCUGAGAAAUGGGAACAAGGAAGGGCCCAGUCCACCCUCCCCGCUGUUCUCCCCAAGACCCUUCAAAGAGGUCAAAACGAAAUGUGGGAGGACCCAGGAGAUGACACAGAUCCAGAACGGCAGGGAAACUUCUAAGUAAACUUUCUGUUUUAUCAGUCAAA